rnacentral:rRNA from 1 species
GAUGAACGCUGGCGGCGUGCCUAACACAUGCAAGUCGAACGGAGAUUACGGACGGAAGUUUUCGGAUGGAAGCCUGUAAUUCUUAGUGGCGGACGGGUGAGUAACGCGUGGGCAACCUGCCCUAUACAGGGGGAUAGCAGCUGGAAACGGCUGGUAAGACCGCAUAAGUCGGUUAAAUCGCAUGAUUUGAUCGGGAAAUGAGCAAUCAGGUAUAGGAUGGGCCCGCGUCCGAUUAGCCAGUUGGCAGGGUAAAAGCCUACCAAAGCGACGAUCGGUAGCCGGACUGAGAGGCCGGACGGCCACAUUGGGACUGAGACACGGCCCAAACUCCUACGGGAGGCAGCAGUGGGGGAUAUUGCACAAUGGAGGAAACUCUGAUGCAGCGACGCCGCGUGAGUGAAGAAGUAUUUCGGUAUGUAAAGCUCUAUCAGCAGGGAAGAUGAUGACGGUACCUGACUAAGAAGCCCCGGCUAACUACGUG